GCUGGAACACGGCGGCUCUUCUUUCUUCCACUCUGAGACAAGAACACAUGCGCUUUUCCUGUAAGUGUUGUCUCCCCAGUUAUUCUGGAGACCAUCCAGAAGAGAAUGAGAAUAAAGAAACCAACAGAAGAAAGAUAAAGAAGGAAGAAUAAAAGAUACCAAAAUGACAGUUAUCGCUUGCUUCGGAGAGUUUCGCUCUUGUGGCCCAGUCUGGAGUGCAGUGGCACCAUCUCAGCUCAUUGCAACCUCCGCCUCCCCGGUUCAAGCGAUUCUCCUGCCUCAGCCUCCCGAGUAGCUGGGAUUACAGGCACCCGCCACCAUGCCCAGCUAAGUUUUUGUAUUUUUUAGUAGAGACGGGGUUUCACCAUGUUAGCCAGGAUGGAUGUUCUCGAUCUCCUGACCUCGUGAUCCACCUGCCUCGGCCUCCCAAAGUGCUGGGAUUACAGGCGUGAGCCA
rnacentral:lncRNA from 1 species